GGAAGCGUGGCUGAGUGGCUUAUAGCAUCUGCCUGAUAAGUAGAAAUACCUGACCGGGUAUCGUGGGUUCGAAUCCCACCGCUUCCU
rnacentral:tRNA from 1 species